UGGGAUUGUGGCUCAGUGGUAGAGUGCUUGCCUAGUACGCAUGAGGCCCUGAGUUCGAACCUCAGCACCUCAU